UUAUUGGUAGUUUGAGCUGGUUAGCACGUCGGAUUCUGAUUCCGGAGAUAUUGGUUCGAUUCCUCUCAGAAG